GGUAGACAGGCCUAUUAACUUGAUUUUUCAAUCGUAGCGUAGUUACAGGCGCAUACCUGUAUAUUCGUCCAUCGUAAUACAAUGUGAAGAAUACCGUGACAUAACUAAUGCCAGUGAAAUUGGCAAAAUUGUAUAGCAAUGGGAAGAGUUCUAGUUAAUUGAAGAAAAUUAAUUCAACUGUACGAAGGAAAAUUGUUAAAGUGAAUUAUACGCUGAUACACGAAUAAGAGAUUAUUCGACAAGAUUCGGUGUACACGUAAACCACGCUCGACUUCGACCAAAGGAAGUUACGUUAUUUUCAACAAAACCGUCGGAUCGUGCGAAAUCGCCGUGUAGAUUUUGUUGCUGUUGAUCCGAAGACGAAGUUUCUUCAAGAACGAGAUUUAUCACCUGUGCAACUUGGCGUUCUCACUGGAAGGAAAAGACGGGAAAACGAUAAAAAAAUAGGAAAAGAAUGUGCCGGAAGUUACGGCCACAAAUAAUCGAACACGAGUUAACGCGCGCGAUGAUUGGACAUUGAGGGAGCACUGUGUGUUCUGCACGCAAUUAGGUCAUUGUCCUUCAUUUAUACUCGCAACCGGCGAACGUAUCAUCGAAGGCCGAAACGCUGUGCCUCCUACCUUACUCUGACGGAUAACAGCUGCUUCGAAAUGCGGAACGUAACCGGGAAAAGUCAUGGGUUCCACGAAAUUCACAAGAAUUCCCAAUUCUGCGUUUGUUCGUUCUGCAUGUGCAACGGAAGCGCGUUAAGCGAAUCUCAGUUAAUCGUAUCACGUAAGUAAAUAUCUUUCCAUCUAUAAUCGUUUCUACAAUGUUUUUCCAACUAACUGAGUCUACGAUUGUAUUAAAGUAACGAAGACAUCGUGGAUAAUUUACAUUUUAAUCCUUUUUAAUUUUCCAAAGGAAAUUAUUUGCCGUUUUGCUCGUGUUUUACUUAACCGUUCUUCGACUCUGCCCGUUUCUAGAUCUUCGUAGACUGUACGCUUCGAUUCUGCGAAACUUUCCCGAAUUAAAUAAUUCAGCCACCUGUUCUUCUCUGAAACUCUGACAUCUUCGAUAUAUUUCUCGCUCUCUUUCAUCUUACGUUCCUUUCUCCCGUGUUUCUUCCGACACGAAGAACUAAAGCGAUACGCAGUCAACGUCUCUCCGAAACGGUACUUCGUUGAAGCCGCUUUUAGAAAAAAAGAAAGAAAGAAAAUGAACAUACCGAGCGGAGAAUCUUCGUCUCCAUUCAAUUCUACGCCAAUCAAUUUCUAACAAUAGCUUGUUAAACAUUGAGAUUCCUACAGAUAGCUGGAAUGGUACGCUCGUUCCGAUCAUUUGUCAGGUAUGUGUUUAAACGUUUACACAGAGAACGAGAUGGAACGUUUCAAUGGCAGAUUGUAUUUUAUUAAAUGUACUACGAUGGAUGGAAGAAGAAUUCGAUGGCAGGAAAGUCGAUUUACGAGUGUACCAGGGGCCCUUUGCGAGUCGGCAGAUGGGCAGAGUGAUCGAAGACCGGUUAAACGCCGUUUCUCUCCAUAUCCUGCUACUGGAUUCCCUCGUGAGGAUGCACCUGUGUGCGUGGAUACGCGCGGACCAACGUGUGUGAUCCAGUGACCCACUAUAUUCAUCGGUGCUACGUGAGUUUAUGACUAAAAUUAUGCGACCGUGCCAUUCAAUCUUUUUCACCACCAACUGGAAACUUUUCCAUUGCUUUGGGCAUUUGCGUGCCAUUUCUUUGGUCGCGUAACGACGACAAAGUCGCUGCAACGGAUCUUUGCGUAAAAAUGAUGAAUCUCCGAACUUGUGGCAUUUCGAUCAUUUUUUUUUUUAAUACUUCGGUUCUGUUCCACGUGAUUUUUUUUUUCUUUUAUCGUUUUGUUCUCUAUAUUUAUUUUUGAAAUCAUGGAAAUAUAAUACGAAGGUAUCUCGUUCCUCGAUGUGAUUUAUUGAUAAUGAAAAAAUAUGUUUCGAGUGUUUUGUCAGUUGAGGGAGCUAUCAGAAUAAAAACGUAACAGGCAUUGACGUUUUAUAGCGAUGUUUCAGCCGUUCGAUAUCUUUCAGCAAUGUAUUUGGAAAGAACUGGUGUUAUUCAGGAUUGAAGGUUCAUUGCACUCGAUAGGAAGCAUUGAUGAAAGGAGAUCGAGGCUGGAUGUUGGUUCAGACGUUUUAUUUCCUGAUUGUCGUUCGUUGCUCCUCAUAUUCGUCGCUCGUAUUCGUUUGCACGUGAUAAUGUGAGAAUAAAUUAACGCACCUUCCAACACAGUAUCGGUACGUAUCGACUAAUCAUACGAAUAAUGUUUCUUUUAAUAAACAAACAUUAGGAA